rnacentral:rRNA from 1 species
UACGUAGGGGGCAAGCGUUGUCCGGAAUCAUUGGGCGUAAAGAGCGUGUAGGCGGUCCGAUAAGUCCGCUCUGAAAGCCCGGGGCUCAACCCCGGGAGGCGGGCGGAUACUGUCGGGCUAGAGUCCGGAAGAGGCAAGUGGAAUUCCUGGUGUAGCGGUGAAAUGCGCAGAUAUCAGGAGGAACACCGAUGGCGAAGGCAGCUUGCUGGGACGGUACUGACGCUGAGACGCGAAAGCGUGGGGAGCGAACAGG